GCUGGGCACGGUGGCGCGUGCCUGUAAUCCCAGCUACUCGGGAGGCUGAGGCAGGAGAAUUGCUUGAACCCAGGAGGCGGAGGUUGCGGUGAGCCGAGAUCGCGCCAUUGCACUCCAACCUGGGUAAUAAGAGCGAAACUCUGUCUCAA
ensembl:misc_RNA Metazoa_SRP Metazoan signal recognition particle RNA